CGUCAAUGGAGGAUUAACACACGUAAGCAAUCGUGGCAGCGCAUGUUCGACAUUUGGCACGUGAGAGCGUGUUAAAUGUCUAUACUAGGAUUUUGUUAAUUGUUAGGACUCCGUAUGCUUGCCGUUAGGCUGGCGAUGGGACCAAUGUGGCUGCAUUUGUUUGUUAGUAAACUUCUCUAAUUCUCUUUCGUUUUGUUCCAAGCUCACGGUCGGUCACGCCGUUAGUGGUCCCCCCAUUGGCGAUACAGUGGUG
rnacentral:misc_RNA from 1 species